GACGAACCGAGCGAACGUUGUUCGGAAUCACUGGGCUUAAAGGGCGCGUAGGCGGGCUGUCAAGUCUGGGGUGAAAUCCCACGGCUCAACCGUGGAACUGCCUCAGAUACUGACGGCCUCGAGGGAGGUAGGGGCGAGCGGAACGGGUGGUGGAGCGGUGAAAUGCGUUGAUAUCACUCGGAACUCCGGUGGCGAAAGCGGCUCGCUGGACCUUUUCUGACGCUGAGGCGCGAAAGCUAGGGGAGCAAACGGG
rnacentral:rRNA from 1 species